rnacentral:rRNA from 1 species
UGACGCAGCGACGCCGCGUGAGUGAGGAAGGCCUUCGGGUCGUAAAGCUCUGUCAAGAGGAAAGAAGUGUACAAUGGCUAAUACCUGUUGUAUUUGACGGUACCUCUAAAGGAAGCACCGGCUAACUCCGUGCCAGCAGCCGCGGUAAUACGGAGGGUGCAAGCGUUGUUCGGAAUCACUGGGCGUAAAGGGCGCGUAGGCGGCUUGGUAAGUCAGAUGUGAAAGCCCACGGCUUAACUGUGGAAGUGCAUUUGAAACUGUCAGGCUUGAGUACCAGAGGGGAAAGUGGAAUUCCCGGUGUAGAGGUGAAAUUCGUAGAUAUCGGGAGGAAUACCGGUGGCGAAGGCGACUUUCUGGCUGGAUACUGACGCUGAGGCGCGAAAGCGUGGGGAGCAAACAGGAUUAGAUACCCUGGUAGUCCACGCUGUAAACGAUGUGAACUAGAUGCAGGGGGUGUUGAUCCCUUCUGUGUCGCACCUAAC